CCCGAACACUGUGGCACAAGCUCAGGCCGC
rnacentral:piRNA from 1 species